rnacentral:misc_RNA from 1 species
GGGCGCUACUACUAGCAAGGAAACAGCAAACUCAGCGUCCAGGGGUCGCGUUUUACGACGAUAUCGUCUGAAGUUUUUCGAAGAAAUUAAAUCUGUAGGUAGGCUUCAAAAAGGUAGUCAUUACUGAUAACGACAACCCACUGACAUGGGGAAGUACAGCAGUGAUGAAGAAAACAGCGACGACGAAGGAGAGCGGACCCGCGUCUACAUCGGCGACAUCAACUAUGAGACGUCCCGGACAGACCUGGAGAAAGCCUUCAAGAAGUUUGGCCCGCUGUUUGAGGUGUGGUUGGCCCGGUACCCACCGCUCUUUGCCUUUGUCGUCUUCCAGAAUAGGAAGGAUGCGGAGGAGGCCGUGCGGGAGAUGAAUGGAGAGACGAUCCGUGGCUCUCGGGUGCAGGUCAACGUUGCUCGUCCUCGCAACCGCGGCCGGAUGGGCUUUGGCCGGUCCACCUUCCGUGAUUCGGACAUCCGUUGUUUCCAUUGUCGGGAGCGGGGCCACAUCGCCCGGCACUGCACACGCUUCACGUCGGGCUAUCGCCGCUACUUCAGCAGGCUGGUGUGUGGGCUUUGUUGUUGGUUGCCAUUGGCUGCGAUGGUGUCAGGAUGAGUGGAAAAAAUGUUGGGGAAUUAGUGUGGUGAUGAUGAUGUCGUUAAAGUUGCCGAGAAAACAAAAUAAAAGAUCCCUCUUGGCGCAAAGCAGUUGGUGUUGUGGUUUGGUCCAAUGCCCCUCCUCCACUCACGAUGUUGGUUCUCUGGACUGUGAUUGGUUGGCAAGGAAGCCCCGGAGACUUGUGAUUGGUUGGUUGUGAGUUGGCGGCUGGGUCAUUUGGCAAAAGAAUAUGGUUUUAUAAAAAUCAUAUGGUCCCGCUCUCGAUCUCGCUCGCCUCGUAGGAGCCACCGCAGCGGCAGUCGGGAAAGAAGAAAGCGGAGUGCUUCUCAU